rnacentral:rRNA from 1 species
CAGUAGCCACGGGAAUACGAAGGGUGCAAGCGUUAAUCGGAAUUACUGGGCGUAAAGCGCGCGUAGGUGGUUUGAUAAGUUGGAUGUGAAAGCCCCGGGCUCAACCUGGGAAUUGCAUCCAAAACUGUCUGACUAGAGUAUGGCAGAGGGUGGUGGAAUUUCCUGUGUAGCGGUGAAAUGCGUAGAUAUAGGAAGGAACACCAGUGGCGAAGGCGACCACCUGGGCUAAUACUGACACUGAGGUGCGAAAGCGUGGGGAGCAAACAGGAUUAGAUACCCCAGUAGUCCCUGUCUCUUAUAA